rnacentral:lncRNA from 1 species
UCGCCAGCCAACCCAAACCCGACGAGUAUAAGAUUCUAAUAAGCCCGUAAUAUCGUGUUGGAACCCAUCUCCCUUCAACUAGUGGAAGAAGGAAAAUUCCACAAUGGGUUUGUUUCUUAAGACUAUUGAGGUUGCUAUCAACCCCAAAGGUAUCUAAUUAAGAAGAAAUAGGUUGUAUUUGAGUUGUUGGAAGUUGGUGUUUCUAGUGCAAACAUCAACAUAAUUGUUAUUAGAUUCAUCAGAGGGUGAGGAGCUAGAGUUCUAGUGGGCAAGUGUAAGAGCCGUUUGGGAAUAUGCUCACUUGAAACCACCAACACCGUAGAUGAACAUCAAAUUAUUAUUGUUUUGGGUGGGUUGAAUGCAUUAACCAAGUCUAAUGGACGAACGCCACAUACACAUGGAAGAUUCUGACUCAUUGCAAAAAAUUUAGAGCAAAUAAGAUAAUUUGGAUGAGAGAGAGAGAGAGAGAGAGAGAGAGAGAGAGAGAGAGAGAGAGAGAGAGAGAGGGAGGGAGGGACGGUGGUGGUGGGGUUCGGUUGGAUUCAUAGCGUUCAACGUCGCUCCAUCGAAUAUUAAGGUUGAAUAUGGUGAGUAAUGUGUACUU